AUUGAACGCUGGCGGCAGGCCUAACACAUGCAAGUCGAACGGUAACAGGAAGCAGCUUGCUGCUUCGCUGACGAGUGGCGGACGGGUGAGUAAUGUCUGGGAAGCUGCCUGAUGGAGGGGGAUAACUACUGGAAACGGUAGCUAAUACCGCAUAAUGUCGCAAGACCAAAGAGGGGGACCUUCGGGCCUCUUGCCAUCGGAUGUGCCCAGAUGGGAUUAGCUUGUUGGUGGGGUAACGGCUCACCAAGGCGACGAUCCCUAGCUGGUCUGAGAGGAUGACCAGCCACACUGGGACUGAGACACGGUCCAGACUCCUACGGGAGGCAGCAGUAGGGAAUAUUGCACAAUGGGCGCAAGCCUGAUGCAGCCAUGCCGCGUGUAUGAAGAAGGCCUUCGGGUUGUAAAGUACUUUCAGCGGGGAGGAAGGGAGUAAAGUUAAUACCUUUGCUCAUUGACGUUACCCGCAGAAGAAGCACCGGCCAACUCCGUG
rnacentral:rRNA from 1 species